UUAAUCUAACAUUGCAUUUAAACUUGUUUAAAUCUUAAAACUAGAAUACACAAUAAAGCACCCAGGCUAUGAAAAUCCAAACUUGGAUAAAAUGGGAAGAUUGUCCACCAGAAAAUAAUAGCAAUUAUUGUUGAUCACCUCAAUAAAGUACAACCAAGCUCGUCGCCAAUAUGGAUUUAUGUAUAGAACAGCACCUAUCACUAGCAGCGCCAUGAUGUAUGCAACCCCAAAGGUCACAUAGAAAACCUUCAUAUCCAUGAAGCCACCAUUAUCUUCAUUGUUCGUUGAAGUUGGUGUUGGUGAUGGUGGCAUAGCCGCACCACAUAUUUUGGCUAGCGGUUCUC